GUGUUGUAUGAAAGGAGAGAAGUUUAUCACUCCCUUGACAAGGAUGGAAGAGGCCCUUGGGCCUGACAACAUGCAUAUGGUUAAGGCAUCACCACCUACUUCAUGGCAUCUAACCAUCAUUUUUA
rnacentral:ncRNA from 1 species